rnacentral:rRNA from 1 species
GAAGGUGGGGAUGACGUCAAAUCAUCAUGCCCCUUAUGACCUGGGCUACACACGUGCUACAAUGGACGGUACAAAGAGCUGCAAGACCGCGAGGUGGAGCUAAUCUCAUAAAACCGUUCUCAGUUCGGAUUGUAGGCUGCAACUCGCCUACAUGAAGCUGGAAUCGCUAGUAAUCGCGGAUCAGCAUGCCGCGGUGAAUACGUUCCCGGGCCUUGUACACACCGCCCGUCACACCACGAGAGUUUGUAACACCCGAAGUCGGUGGGGUAACCUUUUUGGAGCCAGCCGCCUAAGGUGGGACAGAUGAUUGGGGUGAAGUCGUAACAAGGUAGCCGUAUCGGAAGGUGCGGCUGGAUCACCUCCUUUCUAUGGAGA